rnacentral:rRNA from 1 species
UACGAAGGGGGCUAGCGUUGUUCGGAAUUACUGGGCGUAAAGCGCACGUAGGCGGAUAUUUAAGUCAGGGGUGAAAUCCCAGAGCUCAACUCUGGAACUGCCUUUGAUACUGGGUAUCUUGAGUAUGGAAGAGGUAAGUGGAAUUGCGAGUGUAGAGGUGAAAUUCGUAGAUAUUCGCAGGAACACCAGUGGCGAAGGCGGCUUACUGGUCCUAACUGACGCUGAGGUGCGAAAGCGUGGGGAGCAAACAGGG